AUUGAACGCUGGCGGCAGGCCUAACACAUGCAAGUCGAGCGGAGCGGCGGACGGGUGAGUAAUACCUAGGAAUCUGCCUGGUAGUGGGGUAUAACGUCCGGAAACGGGCGCUAAUACCGCAUACUAUCAGAUCAGCCUAGGUCGGAUUAGCUAGUUGGUGGGUUAAAGGGCGACAAAGGCGACGAUCCGUAACUGGUCUGAGAGGAUGAUCAGUCACACUGGAAUUGUGACACGGUCCAGAUUCCUACGGGAGGAAGCAGUGGGGAAUAUUUGACAAUGGGCGAAAGCCUGAUCCAGCCAUGCCGCGUGUGUGAAGAAGGUCUUCGGAUUGUAAAGCACUUUAAGUUGGGAGGCGUUACCAACAGAAUAAGCACCGGCUAACUUCGUGCCAGCAGCCGCGGUAAUUC
rnacentral:rRNA from 1 species